rnacentral:rRNA from 1 species
AAAUAUUUGGUCUCGUGCCAAAUUAACACCUGUGUGCACCAUUGUCUGUAUUUGGUAGCUCGAGCGCGUCCCGGGAGCUCAACACUCCGUAUCGGGACGCCUACCCUUGUGGGUUGAAUUCCUCCCGAAUGCGAUGGUUUUUGGGCCGGCGGUUAAUUCCGCCAGACCGCCAGAGCUGACGGGGGGAUCUGCACGGGUUGGGCUACCGCCAUUUUUUGCAAUAACCUUUUGUAUUGGCCUUUCUGUCUGAACGAAGAUUUGAUCUUUAUUGAUUAAUGAUUUGAAAACAACUUUUGACAACGGAUCUCUUGGCUCUCGCAACGAUGAAGAACGCAGCGAAAUGCGAUAAGUAAUGUGAAUUGCAGAAUUCAGUGAAUCAUCUAAUCUUUGAACGCACAUUGCGCUCCUUGGUAUUCCGGGGAGCAUGCCUGUUUGAGAAUCAGUAAAUUCAUCAACCCACCGGUUUGGGGCAACCUGAGCGCGGAGGUUGGAUAUGGGUCCUGUUUGCGCCUGGCGCAAUGGCCUGAAAUGGAAUGUCAUGGAAUCAUUGGACGCCCGUCCGGUUUCAAGCGCAUGAAAGAGAUUUUCUCUGAAGUACGUCUUGAGGUGCCGUUCUUGGGAUCAGAGCCUCUGGUGCUGUAGACUCAACUAUCAUCCAGCGGGGGUCCUCAACGGGAUCCCCCUGAACACUUGGUCUCAAAUCAGGUAGGAAAACCCGCUGAAC